UAGAACUGGGCUGAUGGGUGGGGAAGGGGAGGGGCGAACCCCCGGGGGGCGGUCCCUGGCGAAUGCCUGAAGCAAGACCCAGAGGAUGGGCGCUGAGGGUGACCUGGCCACGAGGUCCCCGGCGAGGACUCUGCAGCCCGAGAUCUGCAGAUGCUCAGUGGAAUCUCAGAACCCAACAGGAAGCCACUAGAAGACCCUAGGCCUGGGGGCUCCGGGGCUGAUGCUGGGCUGAGAAAGUAGACCCUUCCCCAACAGGUCCUGUGCUUCCCAUCCCCAUGGGUACAAACGAUCCACGUGGGGGUCAGUGGAGUGUAGGGACUUAUAGGGUGCACACACAGAUACCUUCGGGGCAAGGGGUCUUUGCCCUGCACCUCUAACAGUGCUGAGGGCGCAGUGCAGUGUGUGAGAGCCACCCUCUAGGGCUGGGGGCCAGGGGUCUUGGCAGGACCACUUGCUAAGCUUGUGUGGAGAGAGAAUGAAAGGUGUGGGUGAACACGGCGGAGGAACAGCGAGGGGCAGAAAGAGCACAGUGCCCAUCUGUCUCAGGCACCUGAAAGGCAAAAUGCAGAGAGCAACAGGGCUGGGUCCUGAGUCGCUGGUGCCUUGUCAAGACAGACAUCCUCCGCCUGGGGGAUCUGCCAUUCCCCUCAUCCCACAAGGGUACACUGAUCUGCAGAUGUCAGAGUGCUCCCAGACCCAGCCCUCAGUCCCCCAAGAUCACCUGAGCACCUCUCCUAGGGACACAAGCCUCCACCAGCCAAGGCUCGGGGGAAUCCUCUUCUGGACCACGCAGCUGCCUGGCAGGUGCCGCCUGCCCAGGCAAGCCCGGAUCCCUCGAUGUCCUCGGGAGCUAGCUGCUGGCACAGCCGCGGAGCUGCCUCUGAAGGGCUGGUCUGGGUCUCUGGAAUCAUCCGCAGGACCUCCCACCCCUGCCUGAGAGCCACACAGGCCUUCUCAGCUCCCGCUCUGGCCCUACGGACGAAUCCCUUCUCGCCAGGGGCUGUUGAGCCAACCCUGCGUGCGGAUUGCUCCUCGGAUGCCUGGUGGUGUGGUUUCCAUUUUGAGAUGACAUUUUUCCUUUUCCAAUAACUCAUCCUGCACACCUCCCACACCUAGAAAAUUCCUGAUGAAAAUAAGACUCUCUCCAAGCACCCCCUACACACACUCCAGUUCUCUGUUCCCAGAUCCCAGGAUACAGAGAGAAUCCAAAUGUGCAUAUUAAACCUCUCGGGAAGCUAAAACAGGAACAUUCCGUCGCCAAGGCUGUCUUCAGACGUAAGCUUUGAAAUCAGUCUUACUUGCAGAUGCUCCGGUGGAACAGUGAUCUGGUUUGAAAUAACAGUGGUACGAGAAAGCGACCUCGAUUCAGAUUGCAUGAGAGCAUUAAAUCCUGGCUUUUCACCUCCACGUGGAAUUAAUUGUUAUGACUCAGUAAUAUGGCUUUUAGUUGGGAGCGUGAUGCUAUUUAAAAAGUGUUUCGGCUCCACAGAGAUUCGUCUUAGCUACCAUUCCCACUUCGUAGGCAGAUUUGGUCAGCGAGAGGAUGUACUUAAACUCAAGCGGCACUGCUGUUUAAUUACCUCUAUGCCGCCAACCAGGAAACGAGGAAGAAGCUGCCACUGAGGGUGAAUGAAACAGAGACAUCUACUGGCGAGAGAUGGGACCUGCGUGCUAAACUCUCCCAGCUUGUCCUUCCUGAUGGAGUCUGUCCAUGCUCCUUGUCCCUGUGUUGGGCUUGCGCUUACUUGGCCACUGCCAUGAAGCAGUUAGGAUGCUGUAGAGCUUCUGCCCUCAUCCUGUUGGCACCUGAGAUCAUCCCACAAUGCCGAGAACCACCCAGAAGGAAGCCAAACCAACAGCACCAUGGACAGACAGCUCCUUCACCACACUUCAGUCCUCAAUCCUUUGAUCAGAUUGUGUGGGCCUCGCCUCUAUCGUUUUCUAAGAUCCACUGGACUGUUCCAACAUGGAAGUCGUCAGGGAAUGGCAUAAAGUUCAUGACCUUAUGGAUGAGAAUUGGGAGAGAAAUAAGGUGAAAACAGUCUUCACUUUUAACAACCUCUACCUGGAGCUGCAGGUAGAGUAUUGCAAAAGCUAUGUCUGUGUGCUAUGUAUUCUGUUUUUACUGCUCGUAUUGUAAGCAGUAGAGUCAUGGAGUAGGAAAUCAUUGCUGGCAAUGGCCAUCCAGAUCCUCUUCAGGGACAGUGAGCUCACUGCUUCGGCAGCCAGGAGUACAGGACGAUGGUGUGUGUGUGUGUGCACCAGUGCCCUACAGCCGAAUUCCUCUCUGGCGUUGCCGUACACCAAAGGAAGCUGACUUGUCCAAGGUUAUGCGCCCUCCCUUGAUUCAGGCAAUUUCCAAAGACCAGGGGUGCAGAGGCCUCGCUGGGGGAGAGCUGUGAGAGCCAGCCUGUUUGGGGUAGCCAGCAUUCGGGUGCAGCUGCCUCACAGUUCAACCCUUCUGCUACAAAGCUGCUUCUCUCAGUUGCUUACAGAUUCACUGGGGAUUUUUCCCCCCGACCACCCACUCGAUGACAAUAAGGAGAGUACUGAUACAGGGUAAUUGUUUAAACUUUCACUAGUAGCAAGCUGAAAAGUGGAAGCAAAAGGAAGAGAAUGUGCUGAUGGGUGCAAAGUCUCAGGCAUAAGAGGGAUUAGGGGAAACAGUUAUUAUGAGGAUUAUGGACUCAGAUGGCUCUUGCACUGGAGAAAGAUGAGGAACUCCUGCUGGUAAUUAAGAUGAGGCACAAAAGCCAGUGUGCUCCUUCACAGUGUGUACCCAGACCUCCAUCUCCUGCAGCUAAAUGGGAGAGAAAGCUGAGGAUCAGGCCCAGGGAUUCAUCACACAGAGAGCUGAGCUCCAGAAAGUGCUGCAGCAAGUUUAGGACCUACUGGGAAGGAGUGAGACCCUGCAGCUGUGGCUGGGGACACAGGUUAAUGCCCUUGCAACUCCUGAAUCCCCAGCUUCUCUGACCCUGUGAACUCAGACAAGUGCUCACUCCUUCCUGGGAGAUGUGCUUCUGUCCUGACACAUGCAUCACAUUCUGCUUUGCAAAACAACUAUUUGAACAUAAUUGACGUUUACAGUGACCCUGCACACAGCAAAAGCAGGACACUCAGUCUUUUUAACUGUGCAUGAACAUUCGCCAACCUAGAUCAUCUCCUGCUCCCUCACGUAAGACUUAGUAACUUUAAAAGAAUUGAAAUUCUACAGAAAAUGUUCUCUGACCAACAGAAUGAACUCAGAAAUCAGUAACAGAGAGAUACCUUGGA